UGCAAGUCGAACGGCAGAGAAGGGGCAACCCUGGUGUUCAGUGGCGAACGGGUGAGUAAUACAUCGGAACGUGUCCUGUAUGGGGGGAUAGGCCGAUCACGCCCGGAUUAAUACCGGAUACGCUCUACUGAGGAUAGGGGAGAUCUUUUGACCUCCCCCUUUUGGGGGGGGCAAUGGCAAAUAGCUAGUUGCGGGGGUA
rnacentral:rRNA from 1 species